rnacentral:tRNA from 1 species
GAGGGUACAGCUUAAGUGGUAGACAGUGUGCUUAGCAUGCACGAGAUCCUGGGUUCAAUCCCCGGUACCUUCU